rnacentral:tRNA from 1 species
UUCCUCAUGGCCCAAUGGUCACGGCGUCUGGCUACGAACCAGAAGAUUCCAGGUUCGACUCCUGGUGGGGAAG